UGCCUUACACAUGCAAGUCGAACGGCAGCACGGACUUCGGUCUGGUGGCGAGUGGCGAACGGGUGAGUAAUAUAUCGGAACAUACCCAGUAGUGGGGGAUAACUAUCCGAAAGGAUAGCUAAUACCGCAUACGAUCUGUGGAUGAAAGCAGGGGAUCUUCGGACCUUGUGCUAUUGGAAUGGCCGAUAUCUGAUUAGCUAGUUGGUAGGGUAAAAGCCUACCAAGGCGACGAUCAGUAGCUGGUCUGAGAGGACGACCAGCCACACUGGAACUGAGACACGGUCCAGACUCCUACGGGAGGCAGCAGUGGGGAAUUUUGGACAAUGGGGGCAACCCUGAUCCAGCAAUGCCGCGUGAGUGAAGAAGGCCCUCGGGUUGUAAAGCUCUUUUGUCAGGGAAGAAACGGAGUUCUCUAAUAUAGGAUUCUAAUGACGGUACCUGAAGAAUAAGCACCGGCUAACUACGUGCCAGCAGCCGCGGUAAUACGUAGGGUGCAAGCGUUAAUCGGAAUUACUGGGCGUAAAGCGUGCGCAGGCGGUUUUGUAAGUCUGAUGUGAAAUCCCCGGGCUCAACCUGGGAACUGCAUUGGAGACUGCAAGGCUAGAGUGUGUCAGAGGGGGGUAGAAUUCCACGUGUAGCAGUGAAAUGCGUAGAGAUGUGGAGGAGUACCGAUGGCGAAGGCAGCCCCCUGGGAUAACACUGACGCUCAUGCACGAAGCGUGGGGAGCAAAC
rnacentral:rRNA from 1 species